UACGUAGGGGGCGAGCGUUGUCCGGAAUUACUGGGCGUAAAGCGCGCGUAGGCGGCUUUGUAAGUUAGAGGUGAAAGCCCGGGGCUCAACCCCGGAACUGCCUUUAAGACUGCAUCGCUUGAAUCCGGGAGAGGUGAGUGGAAUUCCGAGUGUAGAGGUGAAAUUCGUAGAUAUUCGGAAGAACACCAGUGGCGAAGGCGGCUCACUGGACCGGCAUUGACGCUGAUGUGCGAAAGCGUGGGGAGCAAACAGG
rnacentral:rRNA from 1 species